GCAUUAUGAAUUUACUGUCAUGCCUUUUGGCUUGACCAAUGCCCCUGCCACAUUCCAAGCACAUAUGAAUCAUAUAUUUCAGCCCUUCCUCAGAAAGUUUGUUUUAGUUUUCUUUGAUGACAUCCUCGUGUACAGUUCUUGUUGGGAAGAUCACUUGAAACAUUUAGAAGCAGUUUUUAAGGUGUUCCAGCAGCAAAAGUUAUAUGCCAAGCUUAGUAAGUAUUCUUGUGGGAAGAUGGAAAUUGAUUAUUUGGGGCAUAUU
rnacentral:misc_RNA from 1 species